UAAAGAAAGCGUAAUAGCUCACUGGUCGAGUCGGUCUGCGGGGAAGAUUUAACGGGGCUAAGCAGUGAACCGAAGCUUGGGGUGCAUACUUUGUAUGCGCGGUAGAGGAGCGUUCCGUAAGCCGUUGAAGGUGGAUUGAGAAGUCUGCUGGAGGUAUCGGAAGUGCGAAUGCUGACAUGAGUAACGAUAAUGCGGGUGAAAAACCCGCACGCCGAAAGCCCAAGGUUUCCUU
rnacentral:rRNA from 1 species